rnacentral:rRNA from 1 species
CCUACGGGAGGCAGCAGUGGGGAAUAUUGGUCAAUGGCCGGAAGGCUGAACCAGCCAUGCCGCGUGAAGGUCAGUGCCCUAUGGGCGUUAAACUUCUUUUGUGCGGGAGCAAUAAUGGUCACGUGUGGCCAGACGAGAGUACCGUACGAAUAAGCAUCGGCUAACUCCGUGCCAGCAGCCGCGGUAAUACGGGGGAUGCAAGCGUUAUCCGGAUUUAUUGGGUUUAAAGGGUGCGUAGGCUGUGAGGUAAGUCAGCGGUGAAAUGCCCCCGCUCAACGGGGUGAAGUGCCAUUGAUACUGCCUGGCUGGAAUGCGGAUGCCGUGGGAGGAAUGUGUGGUGUAGCGGUGAAAUGCAUAGAUAUCACACAGAACACCGAUUGCGAAGGCAUCUCACGAAUCCGCGAUUGACGCUGAUGCACGAAAGCGUGGGUAUCAAACAGGAUUAGAUACCCGAGUAGUC